rnacentral:lncRNA from 1 species
UUGGAUUCUCGUAUCGAAUUAUUCGGAAAAAAGGCUAGAAUCAUGUUUUUAGCGACAUGUUUUUUUUUAUGAACCAUUUACAGUUUUACUGAAAAUUUUAGUGUAACUUUUAUUGCUGCAUGGUAAUUUUAAACACAUACAUAGUUAACUUUUUCAUAAAGAAAUAUUUGGUUUGUAAUAUUUUAGUAAUAUCGUAUUAAAUAUGUUAAGCGAGGAAAAUAUCGAUUUUCAGUUGUUAAAAGCUAGAAGAUGCAACUUUGCUUGCAUUUAAGACGCUCCCUUUUCUUAUGAUAGCACCUCCACAGAAGGGCAAGAAGAGUCCAAGAAUGGAUCUUAAUGCAAUUUUGGCUUUAUUUUAUAGAGAAAUGAAUGUACACCUCAGUCUUAAAGCUCCCUUGAGUUAUUGAAGAAGGAGAAAGUUUUUCUACUGAUUUUAUUCAAGUGUUGUGGCACUCUAUUUAUAAUUCAAAUUAUAACUCUAAUUAUAAGUCGAUAAUACAGCUAUACGGUUGGAAGCCAUACCGAGUAUUAGAUUUGCUUUUGAGUUGCUGCUAGUCUCUUAUGUAUUUAAUGUCAAUUUUCCUCAUGAACUUAUUUGUGUAUAUGGAUUUAUGGGAAAUUUGCUUGGAAUAAACAGCAAAAGAAUUAUCGUCAAUUCCUUUUAAAGAAAGUAUUGCCAAAAGUUUAAGAUUAAAUUAAGCAAUAUGUUUGUGAAA